rnacentral:lncRNA from 1 species
CUACAUAAUUCAUAACCGGUUUAAAAAUACCCCGCUCUCGAGCGCUUGCAGGGGUGUUUUCUGGAACAUGGGCUGGUGGAAUGAGUUGAGUUCUACUCGGGACCGAACUGGUUUACUCCUUGUUUAGCCGCCGCCUCCUCUCAUGACAUCAACACUGCGGAGAGCCGCCGCGCGCUCAGACUCUGCUGCAGAACGCCAGUGCGCAAAGCGGAUCGUGCGGUAUUGAUGAGUGAUUGGUGAUCUAUCAGCAUGUCGCUGUACGCGUCUCAGAUUAAAGCGUUUAAGAGCGCGGAGCCCAAGACACUUGGCGCUAUUGAGAUCAUAAUUGGUGUGUUUACUGUCAUUUUGAGCACAAUUGUGUAUAAGCUGCACUACCAUAUCCAGCGUGAAAUCAUCAUCCUCAUCGUCAACGGUGCUCAGGUACAAAUGCACACACAUUGGAAUACAUU